AGCACGCCGCGUGAGUGAUGAAGGUUUUCGGAUCGUAAAGCUCUGUUGUUAGGGAAGAACAAGUGCCGUUCAAAUAGGGCGGCACCUUGACGGUACCUAACCAGAAAGCCACGGCUAACUACGUGCCAGCAGCCGCGGUAAUACGUAGGUGGCAAGCGUUGUCCGGAAUUAUUGGGCGUAAAGGGCUCGCAGGCGGUUUCUUAAGUCUGAUGUGAAAGCCCCCGGCUAACCGGGGAGGGUCAUUGGAAACUGGGGAACUUGAGUGCAGAAGAGGAGAGUGGAAUUCCACGUGUAGCGGUGAAAUGCGUAGAGAUGUGGAGGAACACCAGUGGCGAAGGCGACUCUCUGGUCUGUAACUGACGCUGAGGAGCGAAAGCGUGGGGAGCGAACAGGAUUAGAUACCCUGGUAGUCCACGCCGUAAACGAUGAGUGCUAAGUGUUAGGGGGUUUCCGCCCCUUAGUGCUGCAGCUAACGCAUUAAGCACCCGCCUGGGGAGUACGGUCGCAAGACUGAAACUCAAAGGAAUUGACGGGGGCCCGCACAAGCGGUGGAGCAUGUGGUUUAAUUCGAAGCAACGCGAAGAACCUUACCAGGUCUUGACAUCCUCUGACAAUCCUAGAGAUAGGACGUCCCCUUCGGGGGCAGAGUGACAGGUGGUGCAUGGUUGUCGUCAGCUCGUGUCGUGAGAUGUUGGGUUAAGUCCCGCAACGAGCGCAACCC
rnacentral:rRNA from 1 species